AGUUCCAUACCAGGUAGUGAGGGCUGAGUUUUCUAUUUCAAAGUUAUAUAGACAAUGUGGCUAAAUUGAGAUACAGGUCAAGCUUCCAUCGCAGCCGAUAAAUUACAGUGGUGACAAUGAGACCUGUAACAUUU